rnacentral:rRNA from 1 species
UACGUAGGGAGCAAGCGUUGUCCGGAAUCAUUGGGCGUAAAGCGCGCGUAGGCGGCCCGGUAAGCCCGUUGUGAAAGUCAAAGGCUCAACCUUUGAAUGCCGAUGGAUACUGCCGGGCUCGAGUCCGGAAGAGGCGAGUGGAAUUCCUGGUGUAGCGGUGGAAUGCGCAGAUAUCAGGAGGAACACCAAUAGCGAAGGCAGAUCUCUGGGCCGUAACUGACGCUGAGGAGCGAAAGCGUGGGGAGCGAACAGG